rnacentral:rRNA from 1 species
CUAGAGAUUAGAGUUUGAUCCUGGCUCAGAACGAACGCUGGCGGCGCGCCUAAUACAUGCAAGUCGAGCGAGAAGACGUAGCAAUACGUUUGUAAAGCGGCGAACGGGUGAGGAAUACAUGGGUAACCUACCCUCGAGUGGGGAAUAACUAGCCGAAAGGUUAGCUAAUACCGCAUACGACUCUCGGUCUGCGGAUCGAGAGGGAAAGCGAUACCGUGGGUAUCGCGCUCUUGGAUGGGCUCAUGUCCUAUCAGCUUGUUGGUGAGGUAACGGCUCACCAAGGCUUCGACGGGUAGCUGGUCUGAGAGGACGAUCAGCCACACUGGCACUGCGACACGGGCCAGACUCCUACGGGAGGCAGCAGUAAGGAAUAUUGCGCAAUGGGCGACAGCCUGACGCAGCGACGCCGCGUGGGGGAUGAAGGUCUUCGGAUUGUAAACCCCUUUCGGCAGGGAAGAUGGAACGGGUAACCGUUCGGACGGUACCUGCAGAAGCAGCCACGGCUAACUUCGUGCCAGCAGCCGCGGUAAUACGAAGGUGGCAAGCGUUGUUCGGAUUUACUGGGCGUACAGGGAGCGUAGGCGGUUGGGUAAGCCCUCCGUGAAAUCUCCGGGCCUAACCCGGAAAGUGCGGAGGGGACUGCUCGGCUAGAGGAUGGGAGAGGAGCGCGGAAUUCCCGGUGUAGCGGUGAAAUGCGUAGAGAUCGGGAGGAAGGCCGGUGGCGAAGGCGGCGCUCUGGAACAUUUCUGACGCUGAGGCUCGAAAGCGUGGGGAGCAAACAGGAUUAGAUACCCUGGUAGUCCACGCCUUAAACGAUGGAUACUAAGUGUCGGCGGGUUACCGCCGGUGCCGCAGCUAACGCAGUAAGUAUCCCGCCUGGGAAGUACGGCCGCAAGGUUGAAACUCAAAGGAAUUUGACGGGGGCCCGCACAAGCGGUGGAGCAUGUGGUUUAAUUCGACGCAACGCGAAGAACCUUACCCAGGCUGGACAUGCAGGUAGUAG